AACAGACACGAUCAUUUGCAGCAGUUCAGAAGUCUUAUUCUGCAUUUCAUCGCACACUGUCUCAUCCUCUGUGCUAGCUUGAUACAUGCAAAAUACUCCUGCUGCUGCAUUGACAGAGGCAGCUUCCAAAUGAGUCAAGAGAAUUUCCAACUGCUUCUUCUCAAAUCCUCGCAAUUCUGCGAACUGAGUAAAUCAUUUGAAGAAUGUCAACUUCUCUUCUAGACCUCUAAUCAGAUUUCUCAAACUCUGAUCAUAAACAUCUCCCCAGUAGAUUAGAUCCACCACAUUUACUAUAGGGUGUAGAUGAAUCCCAUAAGCCUGUCCCAGGAUUGCACCGAGCAGUCCAACACAGUGAUGUAGGAAUCAGAUUCAUUGAUCUUUUGGUUAACAGACCCCAUGCUUCCCUUAAAAUCAUAGAUUAUGUCCUGUAAAUCCCAUUUCAAUUCAGUGAGAGAAGAGAAUCCUUAGUCUACUCUAAGACGAAAGGAGUAAAAGACUUCUCCAUUUUUGUGGACUGCUUAUGCAAUACUGUGCAACAAAGAUCCCAGACUUGCAUUUUCAUCAGAGUUGCAACUGUGGUCGUUGCUGCUCCAGUACGUCCUAGCACACGAGACGAAUGUUCGCUGAAUUCUUAGCUACAUCUUCAGGCUCGUCAACCGACAAUCAUCUACAUACAGAUCUUUCGCCAGCAUCUCUAGAGCAUUCAAGACUUCAUCAAUGGAAUCAAAAUCCAUCUUUCUGAGAAAAACUUUGAACUCCAUUUGAACAAGAACUAUAGAAUGUAUCCUAUGCUGCUGUUUUUGGGUGCUUUUACUUUAAAAUUGAACUGCAAUUGAGCAAGAACUGCAGGAAGCCUGCCAUGCUGCAGGAAAUGAGAAAUUGGAGCAGAAACCUCUUGAGAAGAUUAUUGUAAAGCUUUACACAAUUCCGGUGCAAACCAACGAAGAAGAAUGGAAUUGCAUUUGGGAAUUCAAUUUGGCUAGACAACAUAUCAAAGUUGGUGGGGACCGCAAAUAAGUUGUAUUGUCUAAAGUUUGCUUUCUUUGCACAUUUGUGGUUUUGCUUUCUUGUUGGUGAACGUGUGCACUUGGUCAAAAAGAAAACCGACACUUGCUUUUGUUUUGAGUGGAGUUGAAUUGAUUGCGUAGAGAAAUGAUGACCUCUUUGGUGGACGUGGGGUCAUGUCUCCAUUUGGCUGGUUUUUUUAUGUAUGAAGACAUUAGACGUGAAAGGGAGCUAUUAGACUAGUUUUGAGUUUUCUCUCCAAAUAAGCUCCAUUGGAGGAUAGAGGUAGUUUUUGGUUUUCAGAGGAGGAGUUCUUCCUUCUCUUGUUGCGUGGUGUGCAACUUUUUUUCAAAGAGUCUACGGAGACUCAAGUUGCUUUC